UACGAGGGGGGCAAGCGUUGUUCGGAAUUAUUGGGCGUAAAGGGUGCGUAGGCGGUGCGGUAAGUCUGUUGUGAAAUCUCCGGGCUCAACUCGGAGUCUGCAUCAGAAACUGCCGUGCUGGAGUGUGGGAGAGGUGAGUGGAAUUCCCGGUGUAGCGGUGAAAUGCGUAGAGAUCGGGAGGAACACCUGCGGCGAAAGCGGCUCACUGGACCAUAACUGACGCUGAUGCACGAAGGCUAGGGGAGCAAACAGG
rnacentral:rRNA from 1 species